UAUCUCCUGAGGUAAAGCUUUAGAGUUCACUACACGCUAAACCACCACGUGAGGGUGAACUCAGCCAACGCCAAGGAACGACUAUACUUUUAAACAUAAAAAUGUGUUUUAUGCGUAUAUGAACUUUUCUUUAACAACCUUGGCCGACUCAGUUGGAUGCCCCGGCCAAGGUAUCCCCGAGAAUGAGUUUUUGCACGAGCUAAGUUUUUAAGAAAUUCAUAAGCCAUGUUGAUUAUUUGAG
rnacentral:lncRNA from 1 species